rnacentral:rRNA from 1 species
AGGACGAACGCUGGCGGCGUGCUUAACACAUGCAAGUCGAGCGGAAAGGCCCGUUCGGGGUACUCGAGCGGCGAACGGGUGAGUAACACGUGAGGAACCUGCCCUUAGCUCUGGGAUAGCUCCGGGAAACCGGGAUUAAUACCGGAUACGACCACAGCCGGCCUCGGCAGUGGUGGAAAGAUUUAUCGGCUAGGGAUGGUCUCGCGGCCUAUCAGCUUGUUGGUGAGGUAACGGCUCACCAAGGCGACGACGGGUAGCCGGCCUGAGAGGGCGACCGGCCACACUGGGACUGAGACACGGCCCAGACUCCUACGGGAGGCAGCAGUGGGGAAUAUUGCGCAAUGGGCGAAAGCCUGACGCAGCAACGCCGCGUGCGGGAUGGAAGGCCUUCGGUUGUAACCGACUUUCUAGCAGGGACGAAGCGAAAGUGACGGUACCUGCAGAAGAAGCGCCGGCUAACUACGCGCCAGCAGCCGC